CGCGUGAGCGAUGAAGGCCAUUAGGUUGUAAAGCUCUGUCGAGGGGGAACAAGCCGCAAGGUUGAGUGAUCCCUGGAGGAAGCACGGGCUAAGUUCGUGCCAGCAGCCGCGGUAAGACGAACCGUGCGAACGUUGUUCGGAAUCAUUGGGCUUAAAGGGCGCGUAGGCGGGUUGACAAGUCCGGGGUGAAAGCCUCCAGCUCAACUGGAGAAGAGCCCCGGAUACUGUCAGUCUGGAGAGGGAUAGGGGCACAUGGAACUUCCGGUGGAGCGGUGAAAUGCGUAGAGAUCGGAAGGAACGCCGGUGGCGAAAGCGAUGUGCUGGAUCUUUUCUGACGCUGAGGCGCGAAAGCUAGGGGAGCAAACGGGAUUAGAUACCCCGGUAGUCCUAGCCCUAAACGAUGGGUACUGGGUUGCGGGUCAGACAUAGACUCGCAGCCGGAGCAAAAGUGUUAAGUACCCCGCCUGGGGAGUAUGGUCGCAAGGCUGAAACUCAAAGGAAUUGACGGGGGCUCACACAAGCGGUGGAGCAUGUGGCUUAAUUCGAGGCUACGCGAAGAGACUUAUCCUAGACUUGACAUGGUGGAAGUAGCGAGGCGGAAACGUUUUGCGGG
rnacentral:rRNA from 1 species